CCUACGGGGUGCAGCAGUGAGGAAUAUUGGUCAAUGGCCGGAAGGCUGAACCAGCCAAGCCGCGUGAAGGACGAAGGUGCCAAGCAUUGUAAACAUCUUUUGUCAAGGGACAAAAUCAGGCUCGAGAGCCUGACCGAGGGUACUUGAAGAAAAAGCAUCGGCUAACUCCGGGCCAGCAGCCGCGGUAAUACGGGGGAUGCGAGCGUUAUCCGGAUUUAUUGGGUUAAACGGGUGCGGAGGCGGGCUGUUAAGUCAGCGGUAAAAGCCCGGGGCUCAACCCCGGCGAGCCGUUGAAACUGGCUGUCUAGAGUUGUCGAGAGGUAUGCGGAAUGCGCAGUGUAGCGGUGAAAUGCUUAGAGAUUGCGAAGAACUCCGAUGGCGAAGGCAGCAUACCGGCGGCGUUCUGACGCUGAGGCACGAAAGCGUGGGUAUCGAACAGGAUUAGAUACCCGAGUAGUC
rnacentral:rRNA from 1 species